rnacentral:lncRNA from 1 species
CCUUUAUAUCUCAUAAGUUGCUGCGUCUUUAACCAUUUCCUGAUCUCACCCUCCACCCCAUCCCGUGCCUUCCUCUUUUAAAAUCUCUGUGUGUAUGUGUCCCUGUGUGCUUGUGUGUGCCCAUGUAUGUGUCCAUGCCUGUGUGCAUGCCUGGAUACUGUGAAUGUAGCUGCAGACAGAUCAGGGCACUUGUGAGCUCAGAGGUUAAUCGUGGUGCAGGGCUUCAUCUUCCAUCUUGUUUCUCACUGCUUAUGCCAGGCUAGCUAGCUUUCGGGGACUCUUCUGUCUCUGUCCUCACAUGUCCUGGUAGGAGUGCUCGAAUUAUAGACAUGCUGCCCAGCUUCUGUCUUGCUUUUUCACCUGCCAUGACACUCGAAUAAUUGCUAUUACUUAGCUGGUUACCCGCUUCGAGUCAAUCACCCUGAGAUGUUGGUCUUCAUCCCCAACUUGACUAGAUUUAGAAUCACGUAGGAGGUACACAUCUAAGCACAUCUGUGGUGUUUUCAGAUAAAUUCAACUGUGUAAGGAAGAUCCAGUUACAUGUGGGCAACGGCAGCCAAUGGGCUGGGGCCUGAGAAUCAGCAUUCAUCCGUUUCUUGACUGUGUGACAGCCUGAAUCCAACCUCAGUGUGCCUCUGUCAGGCCUGACUCUCACCCAUCUCUUCCUGCUCACAGCCUGCCCCCCUUCAGUACUGCAUGGGCUUUGGGGGUCCAUCUCCCCACUGUCGCUCCAGUCCACCCACCCAGUAUCACUGCCUCUCCCAGGUGACUCUAAGCUGCUCCAAACACCUCAGGUCUGUUCUUGUCUGCGUCACCCCCCAACCCCCAGUGUGUCCAGCAGAGUUCCCCUCCGCUUGGCCAGCUUCAUAAACAUUUGCUGAGUUGAGCUAGCUCCCACCUGGCCUGCUGCCAGGCUGAGAGUUGGAGAAAUUAAACAGCUUGCACCAGGUGGGAAACUAUGCUCACAGCCCCCAACACAUAAUGCGACCUUUCUUUCCAUUCCUUCAAGAUUAACAGGAUAGCUGGAAGUCCCGCUGGCCAUCGGACACUCGUUCAUUAGGUGCUAACUAUGUGUCAGGCACUGGGUACUGGGAUGCGAUGGUGAACAAGACAGCCACAGACCAGCUCUCCUUGGAAACUGAGCUCAGAGGUGGAAACCAACCUAAAUAAACGCCUUGUUAUGGUCGUUGAUUCUAGAACUUGCCAGCCAGUGGGUAGAUGAGGCUGAACCAAUACAUACUGGGUCUGCAUGUGGAAGAAUGAGGCUUGCAGCCAACGGCCGUCCACAUCUCUGAUGAGGAUCAGAUAAAAAUCCUAACUAUGACACUUGGGAUGCUCUGCGAAUUGUAUCUCUGGGCCCCAGCAUUUAGCAUAUUCCUGUUCUUUCUCUAUGGUGCCAU